AUGGAGUUAGGGAUAGGUCCGCAUCCCUUCCUCUCAAUCUGGCUUCCCAGAAGAUGGAGUUAGGGAUAGGUCCGCAUCCCUUCCUUUCAAUCUGUCUUCCCAGAAGAUGGAGUUAGGGAUAGGUCUGCAUCCCUUCCUCUCAAUCUGUCUUCCUAGAAGAUGGAGUUAGGGAUAGGUCCGCAUCCCUUCCUCUCAAUCUGUCUUCCUAGAAGAUGGAGUUAGGGAUAGGUCCGCAUCCCUUCCUCUCAAUCUGUCUUCCUAGAAGAUGGAGUUAGGGAUAGG